GCCUUCGUGCUGUAACGGUAACAUACUCGGCUCGUAUUCGAGAAGUCCACGUUCGAGUCCCAGCGAGGGCA
rfam:Stegodyphus mimosarum contig121598, whole genome shotgun sequence.